UCGCCGCUGUCGCCCGCCCGCACGCGCUCCCGCGGGUUUUCGCCGUGCCCCAGCGCGUUUUCCGCUCCUGGCUCCUCUGCUCGUCCUUAGGUCUGAGCCCAGCCCCGCAGCGCGAGGUCAGAGCGGCUGAGAACGCGCCCUGCGCAUCGCGACAAUCGGGGAUCCCGACCCCGCGCUGCCUGCCGGGGGUGGUGGUGAGAUGUCGAUCUGAACGUGGAUUUUAACCAUUUUAACCACUAACCAUGGUAACCAUGACCAGCCUUUGCUUUUUUUAUUUAUAUCACUGGAUUUGCUGGACCAUCCCAUCAGUGUCACUCGUUUGAUUUCUGGGGUGAUGGCGCGAUUACAAAUUUCCGUGAUUUUUGUUUCGCGUGGCUGUCAUUGUGGCGAGCAGUGUCUGUUGUGUUCGUUUGAGCCUGCAGCUGUCCCGGGUGGCCAGUGGCACCCAGCGAUCCCCGUGGCUCCGGGCUGUGCCCUGCUGUCCCCAGCUGUUCACUCUGGCAACAGCUGGAAACCUCUGGAGGGAUCCCGAGAUGGAUUCAUCACCCUGGCCCGGUGAGCCCGAACCACCUGGCUGGUGUUGUGUGUGCGUGUUUCUCUUUGUAGCUGCAGGGAGCCAGAGCUAAAGUGAGUCUGUCUGGAAACUCCUCGGCCUUGCUCCUGAUUUAAUGUGACACAGGGAAACAGGAUCAUCCCAGAGUUCUCCUGCAGCUCUGAAACCUCAGCUGGCUGCGGUUGGUGCUCAAGGUAGCCCUGCUGAAUGUGGCUCACACACAAUUCCUGCAAGGAAUGGUGCUAAGCAGUUCUGGCACUGGAGACUGGCAGGGAAUUCUGGGGAGAAAAUGGAACUCCAUGUGAGCUCGUUGGUCCUCCUUGCACUGAGACCAGCAGACCCUGGGCUGUGGCUUUCUCUUCCUCCGGGAGCAGCAAUCAUCUGGAAUUAUUCCUGUUGGAGUAACCUGAGCUGGCCAGAGCUUUUCUAUUCACAUUGGUACCACCAGCAACAGGCUUGAAGAGAUGCACAGAAAACCAAACAUGGAAACAUGGUUAGAGUGCAGUAGUGCUUAAAAUAGUCUUAAAUAGUUUUGUGCUUGGUACAGGAAGUUGCAGCUCCUACUCUAACCUUUUACUACUAAGAAACCCCACAUCUUACUUAAAAGUUCCAUGAUACAGAUGAGAUUUCAGUGACUAGUCCUGGGGAAAAUCUGUCACAGAUGCAGACAGGGAAAAAAAAAAGACUUUUUGUUUCAGGUGUGUAUAAGGCUUCACAGCUUCACUUCCAAAAGGGCUCUCCAGGACUGAGCUUCCCAAGUUACAUGCCUCAAUCCCUCCUCCCAGCAGUGCACCCUAAAUAAUUUGGGUCCUGACUAUUAGAAAUCAUCAUGUGAAGCCCACUGAAUGGACAGGAAGAUUCCCAGUGAUUCAUCUGUUUUCAAUUAUGUCCCUAAGAGCACUCCUGCCCUUUCUUCCUGCUCGUAAUAGCUGGAGAAGUUAUUAGAUCUGCUGGGGCUCUGGAUGGGCUGCCACUGAUUUCUGGGGAUUUGGAUCAAUGCUCUUUGACUCAGUUUCCCUGUCUGUAAACAAGACAUUUAAUAAGGGCAAGGAGUCUCCAGAGUAUGGAAGAGAUGCUGGGAUGAAAGCUGCUGCUACCUGGUAACUCCACAACUGCUGGCAGUGGCGGUAGAGCUGAAGCUGCAAAUCUGAAAUACAGCUGUCAUUGCUGAUUUCAAUGUCAUCCCACCUCCAGGUAAGGAAAUAGAGCUCAUCUUGGGACAAACACGCCACAUUCAGCCUUCUUAACCUUCAGUCUGGAGAGCUGCAAAGAUGAACAGAAGAAUUUUAUGCAUAACAUUUUAACUUGGCUUGAUGUACUUCCCAGUAGCAUGUAAAUAAACUGCUUGAUUUGGA